rnacentral:rRNA from 1 species
ACUUACCAGGUCAAGACAUGGGCGUGAUUGACAGGCUAAUGACUUUUCUCGAUUCCAUGGAUGGUGGUGCAUGGUCGCACUUAGUUGGUGCAGUGAUUUGUCAGGUUUAUUCCGGUAACGAACGAGACCUCGGCCUUGUAAAUAGCUAUGCUGCUUACAGGGACAUUGGCGGCUACGCCAAGGAAGCUCGAGGCAAUUGCAGAUCUGGAAUGCCCUUAGAUGUCCUGGGUCGCACGCGUGCUACAAUGACGCCACGAACGAGCUUGCGUGAUGAAAGUUACGCAUAAUCAGCAGUCGGCGUCUUAAGGGAUAGUCUCUUGUAACUGUGGGACUCCAACUAGGAAUGUCUCGUAAGCACAAGUCAACAUCUUGUGUUGAUUACGUCCCUGCUCUUUGUACACACCGCCCGUCGCUCCUACCGAUCGAGUGUUUAGGUGAAUUUGAUGGACGUAAGGAAGUCAAAUAAACCUGAGCACUAGAGAAGAGAAGUCGAACCAUCU